UGGUGGACAAGAUGGACCAAGAUUUGA
rnacentral:piRNA from 1 species